UAACGGCGAGUGAGCGGCAACAGCUCAAAUUUGAAAUCUGGCGGCCUCUGGGCCGUCCGAGUUGUAAUUUGAAGAGGAUGCUUUUGGCGAGGUGCCUUCCGAGUGCCCUGGAACGGGACGCCACAGAGGGUGAGAGCCCCGUAUGGUUGGACGCCGAGCCUCUGUAAAGCUCCUUCGACGAGUCGAGUAGUUUGGGAAUGCUGCUCAAAAUGGGAGGUAAACCCCUUCUAAAGCUAAAUACUGGCCAGAGACCGAUAGCGCACAAGUAGAGUGAUCGAAAGAUGAAAAGCACUUUGAAAAGAGAGUUAAACAGCACGUGAAAUUGUUGAAAGGGAAGCGCUUGCGACCAGACUUGUGCUCGUCGAAUCAGCCGCCGCUCGUCGGCGGCGCACUUCGGCGGGCUCAGGCCAGCAUCAGUUCGCUGUAGGGGGAGAAAGGCGAUGGGAAUGUGGCUCUUCGGAGUGUUAUAGCCCGCCGCGCAAUACCCCUCGGCGGACUGAGGACCGCGCAUCUGCAAGGAUGCU
rnacentral:rRNA from 1 species